rnacentral:lncRNA from 1 species
UAGGCGAACUCCCUCCUUCUCCUCCUCCUCGUCCCCGGCACCACCACCUCCGAGUUAAAUCCGGUCUUAGCUCCUCCUCCUCGGGCUCUCUCGAUCUCUCUCCACUCUCCAAGUUUGAUCGCUCGAGGUGCCGCCACCUCCGAGUCAAAUCCGAUCCUGGCUCCUCCUCCUCGGGCUAUCUCAAUCUCUUCACUCUCCGAGUCAGAUCCGCACUGCCUCCGACCUCCUCUCAGGCUCUCUCGAUCUCUCUCCACUCUCC